UUAACUACCAGGAAAUAGGAGAAAACAUAAAACAUCAUUCCAAAAUGACCUGCAAAGCCAGUUAGUUUACAGUAUAAGUAAAUUAUUUGUUAAUAAACUACAAGCAAGACUGACAUGAGGUAAUUUGAAGUAUCUCUUACAUUUGACCUCUUUAUACAUGACGAAUACUUUCCAGCUGUGUCUGUGAUCCAGCCAAACUCUAUACCAUCUGAUUACUCUUAACUCCAACUGAACUUUUACUGCCUCAGGUUAGGCACAUGUUUUGUUGCCUUGCCAGGCUUAAUGAUCACCACCCUUAUUUUUGUCAAAGGAUGAGAUUCUGACUGGAUGAUAAAGUUUUUAUAAGGAAGAGUUAUAAAAGCUAGAUAACUAUAAUCUGCAAAGAAGCUGCAUGUUAAAACUAUAUAUUAGUUAGUGAAGUUCCAGAUUCCACUGCUUCAGUCAAGCUUGAUUCUUGUUUGUGUUCCCGCAACAUCAGCCACACAUUCAUACUGGAGCUACCAACGUGAUUUCCUGAGGCCUUUAUAAUGCAGGAGAAUUCUAAGGGGCACCCUGAGCUACUUGCAGAGCUGAACAGGGCAAGGGUCCCAUCCACCCAUUUGCUGCACAGAUAUGGACAAGAGGAGGCUGAAGCCAUGUCUCUGAGAGCUUAGCAGGAAAACCACUUGCAUUGGAACCAAAUGAAACGGUUCACUUCUAACAAAGCAUCCAUUCAGUGAAGUAUACUAAUAGCUCAGCAUAAUUUAAUCCUCAUCUCCUAAGGAAUUCAGCACGUGGGUUGAGUGGGCCCCUCUCCCAAACUGGAACUCACACUGAAACUGACUGCCUGAAUCCCCAGCUGGUGCACCAGCCAGUCCUGUCAAUUGGUUCUUUAUGUGGGCUGUCGCUUUAAAUCAAAGCAGCAAGGAACAGCUUUGAUACAGCAUGAACAGUAUCAUCCUGUAAACAAGACUGGUGAACCUUAUGACAAUACCAGCCUGACGUGCUUUUGAAAUAAACACAUAAGCACUGUAGCAAAGAGCUAACUCAUCUUCAGAAGGAAAACAAAGAAAGCUCCUUGAUGCUAAUUCCAGUUUCACUGAUGGCUGAUAUUAAUUCAAUUUAUUUUUGUGUAAUUUUCAGGUAAUACAGACACCAAUAGCGGUCAAUGAACUGUGAUCCUAGUUAUGCUUUUAGGUAAACACAGUGGUAAUAGUUCCAAGUUCACAGUCUAUGAUAAACGGCAAAAGCUUAAUUGACUGAUCAAGGACUGGCCUACGCUGACUUUGCUGUUCUCAUGCUCGUUAAUUUCUGUGAUGAUGUGUCAGAAUAGGCCUCCAAUCUGUGCUUAAAAGAAUUAUGAAGGUCUUACCCCUUGGACCUGUGAUGCAUCCGUUGCAAGCCUCGUAGUCAGUGCCCCAGGGCUGUUCCUCCGGUCAUCAAACCAGCCGAUGUCUUGCCCUAGCAUAGCCUGGAAACCAAUUUUCCUUAACCGUCUCGUAAGCAGCUCACCAGACUUGGCAAAGUUGUAUCCCUG